rnacentral:rRNA from 1 species
ACUCCUACGGGAGGCAGCAGUGGGGAAUAUUGCACAAUGGGGAAAGCCCAUCGAUGCAGCAACGACCGCGUGGAGGAUGACACAUUUCGGUGCGUAAACUCCUUUUAUAUAGGAAGAUAAUGACGGUACUAUAUGAAUAAGCGCCGGCUAACUCCGUGCCAGCAGCCGCGGUAAUACGGAGGGCGCAAGCGUUACUCGGAAUCACUGGGCGUAAAGAGCGUGUAGGCGGAUCGAUAAGUCAGGAGUGAAAUCCUAUGGCUCAACCAUAGAACUGCUCUUGAAACUGUCAAUCUAGAGUAUGGGAGAGGUAGAUGGAAUUUCUGGUGUAGGGGUAAAAGUCCGUAGAGAUCAGAAGGAAUACCGAUUGCGAAGGCGAUCUACUGGAACAUAACUGACGCUGAGACGCGAAAGCGUGGGGAGCAAACAGGAUUAGAUACCCUGGUAGCUACGAGU